rnacentral:hammerhead_ribozyme from 1 species
ACACUGCCGAGGAGUCCCAUAAUAGGACGAAACGGCUGUCUAGUGC